rnacentral:rRNA from 1 species
GAGGCUGAUCCAGCCAUGCCGCGUGCAGGAAGAAGGCCCUAUGGGUCGUAAACUGCUUUUAUACGGGAAGAAACCCACCUACGUGUAGUUGGCUGACGGUACCGUAAGAAUAAGGACCGGCUAACUCCGUGCCAGCAGCCGCGGUAAUACGGAGGGUCCGAGCGUUAUCCGGAAUUAUUGGGUUUAAAGGGUCCGUAGGCGGGCCGUUAAGUCAGGGGUGAAAUACUACGGCUCAACCGUGGAACUGCCUUUGAUACUGGUGGUCUUGAAUUAUGGUGAAGUUGCCGGAAUAUGUAGUGUAGCGGUGAAAUGCAUAGAUAUUACAUAGAACACCGAUUGCGAAGGCAGAGCAGA